rnacentral:rRNA from 1 species
GACGAACGCUGGCGGCGUGCUUAACACAUGCAAGUCGAACGGAAAGGCCCUGCUUUUGUGGGGUGCUCGAGUGGCGAACGGGUGAGUAACACGUGAGUAACCUGCCCUUGUCUUUGGGAUAACUUCAGGAAACUGGGGCUACUAUCGGAUAGGAGCUCCUGCUGCAUGGUGGGGGUUGGAAAGUUUCGGCGGUAGGGGAUGGACUCGCGGCUUAUCAGCUUGUUGGUGGGGUAGUGGCUUACCAAGGCUUUGACGGGUAGCCGGCCUGAGAGGGGGGCCGGCCACAAUGGGACUAAGGUACGGCCCAGACGCGUACGGUAGGCAGCAGGGGGAAGUAUUGCACAAUGAGCGCGAGCCUGAGACAGCAACGCCGCGUGCGUGAUGACGUCCUUCGGGUUGUAAACCGCUUUCGCCUGUUACGAAGCGGUAGUGACGGUAAUGAAUAAAGAAGCACCGGCUAACUACGUG